rnacentral:rRNA from 1 species
AGUGAACGCUGGCGGUAGGCCUAACACAUGCAAGUCGAACGGCAGCACAGUAAGAGCUUGCUCUUACGGGUGGCGAGUGGCGGACGGGUGAGGAAUACAUCGGAAUCUACUUUUUCGUGGGGGAUAACGUAGGGAAACUUACGCUAAUACCGCAUACGACCUACGGGUGAAAGCAGUGGAUCUUCGGACCUUGCGCGAUUGAAUGAGCCGAUGUCGGAUUAGCUAGUUGGCGGGGUAAAGGCUCACCAAGGCGACGAUCCGUAGCUGGUCUGAGAGGAUGAUCAGCCACACUGGAACUGAGACACGGUCCAGACUCCUACGGGAGGCAGCAGUGGGGAAUAUUGGACAAUGGGCGCAAGCCUGAUCCAGCCAUACCGCGUGAGUGAAGAAGGCCUUCGGGUUGUAAAGCCCUUUUGUUGGGAAAGAAAAGCAGCAGGUUAAUACCCGGCUGUUCUGACGGUACCCAAAGAAUAAGCACCGGCUAACUUCGUG